CCUACGGGAGACAGCAGUGGGGGAUAUUGCACAAUGGGGGAAACCCUGAUGCAGCGACGCCGCGUGUGGGAAGACGGUCUUCUGGAUUGUAAACCACUGUCCCCAGGGACGAAAAUGACGGUACCUGGGGAGGAAGCUCCGGCUAACUACGUGCCAGCAGCCGCGGUAAUACGUAGGGAGCAAGCGUUGUCCGGAAUUACUGGGUGAAAAGGGAGCGUAGGCGGGGAUGCAAGUUGGGUGUCAAAACUACCGGCUCAACCGAUAGUCGCACUCAAAACUGCAACUCUUGAGUGAAGUAGAGGCAGGCGGAAUUCCUAGUGUAGCGGUGAAAUGCGUAGAUAUUAGGAGGAACACCAGUGGCGAAGGCGGCCUGCUGGGCUUUUACUGACGCUGAGGCUCGAAAGUGUGGGGAGCAAACAGGAUUAGAUACCCCGGUAGUC
rnacentral:rRNA from 1 species